rnacentral:lncRNA from 1 species
AGAUUCGUCGAACCAGAGAUGAGAGAUGGACUCUGCCUAGAUAUUUUCCCCCUGGUGUUUUGAUGGUUCUUGGAACAGAGUAAGCUCUCAUCAUUUGUUGAGUGAAUUCAUGAAUGGCUUUUGUUAAGCAGAACUGGUGACUCAAUAUCACAGUCUUCUGGAACAAGAGAACUUGGCUUUGUGGCUGUUACAAAUGAGACAUUUCUUACAAAAUUGGAGCUGGAAGCUAACAAGUCCAAAUGAUCCCAUCUUCCUACCCUGCUUGGACCUGGGCUUGGUACAUGGUUGACGGAGUGCUGAGGAAGCAGAGCCAACCAAGGUGGUGCCGGUAAAAUAAGAGGAUCCAGAAGAAAAUGGUAUCAUGAAAGCAAAAAGAAAGUUAAUUAUAUUAAAUGCUGCUAUAAUAUCAAGAAAUUGAAAUGACUAUUGAAUGUGGUAGCAUGGACAUUAUCCAUCUACAUGCCUGACAUUUUUGACAUGCUUGUAGGUAGGAAAUGUAACAUAACCAAAAAUGUACUUCUGAUUUCUCUUUCAUCAAAUUAUACUGCACUCAUAACUAAAAAAAAUAAGUAGACAUAUAAAAGUUCAUCAUCUUUGAUAUUAGUUAGGCAUUAUCCUGUAUUCCUUUCCCCAUCAACUUUUAGAGUCUACUAGCAAGUCCUAUUUAUUAUCUUUCACCUCAAAUAUCCCCAGUUUCUUUUUUUUUAAAGAUUUAUUUAUUAUUAUAUUUAACUACACUGUAGCUGUCUUCAGAUGCACCAGAAGAGGGUGUCAGAUCUCAUUACGGAUGGUUGUGAGCCACCAUGUGGUUGCUGGGAUUUGAACUCAGGACCUUCAGAAGAGCAGUCGGUGCUCUUAAUCACUGAGCCAUCUCUCCAGCCCCUCCACCCCCAGUUUCUUUCAAGUCCAUUAGUCCUUGUCAUUAUCAUCCAAGAUACACCAUGACAAAGUUUUUCUUUUUUCUUUUUUUUAAAGAUUUAUUUAUUUUUAUAUAUACGAGUAUACUGUGGCUGUCUUCCGAUACACCAGAGGAAGGCAUCCGAUCCAAUUACAGAUAGUUGUGAGCCACCUUGUGGUUGCCUGGAAUUGAACUCAGAGUGUCUGGAAGAGCAGUCAGUUUUCUUAACCUUGGAGACAUCUCUGCAGCCUGACAAAGUCUUCUUUACUCUUUCUUUUUCAUUUCAAAAUCUACUGUAUAUAAAUAACAUCAGCCUGAAGUUUUAAAAUGUAAAUUAGAGCAGUGGCUCUUUUUUAUAACACACUUCCCAUUUCUCCAUUUUCUAUUUGUCUUUGAGAUUUGAUAUCCAUUUACUUUGAUUUCAUUUUGUACCUCUCCUCUUUCUCACUAGACUGUACAAAUUGACCUUUCAGCUCAGAAUUAUGUAGUGUCUUUUCUGUUCCUGUUUGUUAUUUCCUCAGGACCUUAUGCUCUUACUUUCUUUUUUUAUUCAUCUUGCUCUACAUAGAUGACUUUGCUUUGAGGUCUACAUUACGUUCAAAUGCUGCCUUCUACAUUAUUUCCUACUUAGACAGUUUGACACAUUUAUUUUUUUAAGUACUUUAUUUUCAUCUGAAAUUAAUUUAGCAUCAUCUCACUAAAAACUAUGUAAGCUCUGUGGGAGCAGGGAUUUUUGUCUGCUAAAUACUGUAAUCUCAGAAUUUAGAUUAGGUCCUAAUAGAUACCUGUCAAUAUUUAUUGCCUGAAUGAACAAAUAAAUCUUUCAAUCUUUGUAGUAUCUUCCUAAUUUUUCUUAUAACAACUGUUCACAUUUUAUCUAUGUGCUUAGCAUAUCAUUCAAAUCCAUGUACACAUUAUACAUAUUAUGUGUAAUUAUGGUUGUUAUUUUUAUGGGACAGUCUCAAAUGUUAGUGAGUUUUUGGUUUUAUUUUAGUUUUAAAAACUGUGUGUGUGUGUGUGUGUGUGUGUGUGUGUGAGAGAGAGAGAGAGAGAGAGAGAGAGAGAGAGAGAGAGAGAGAGAGUGCAAAUGUGGGCCAUGACAUACAUGUGGAGGUCAGAGGACAGCCUUGAGUGUCUAUUCAUGCCAUGUACUUUAACACAGGGUCUCUUGUCAUUCACCACUGUGUAAGCCAAGUUAGCUGUUUUUAACCAUGGGUUCUUCUUUUGAAGAAUGUUUUUUUUUAAGGAACUAUUUUACAUUAAAUACUCUUUGAAGCAUUUAAAAAACAUGGACAUAAGUCCAUGGUUUUGCUUUAAAAUCAGUAUUAGCUUCUAUUGCAUUCUCCUUCUCUCUCCUGAGCCCUCCUUUUGUCUCCAGAGUUCUUGGGUUUUUUUUUCUUUCUUUCUAGUGAUUCUAUAUAUGUUGUUUAAAAUUUAUGAUUUAUCUGAUGCUCUUCAGGAGACUCUUAGGAUUCUGCUCUUACAAUGGGCAGAUUUCUAGGUCUUGUUCAUUAUUAGAUUACUAAAAUUUAUCUGUUGAUUAUGUGAUUUAGAAUAUAUGAAGACUAUAGGCUAUAAUAAAAUAGUGGGAAAGUCUAGCAGUGAUAAAUGUUAAAGUAUGAGUUUAGGAAUAACAGUAUGGGUAGAAAAUGUGAAGUUUACUAUCUCUGUCUUUAUUAUCUCUGUAUAUGAAAGAUAUUGUAUAUAUGUGUAUAUGUGGUAAUAUAUCAUACAUGAGGUAAUAUAUAAAAUGUAAUGUAGUAUACAAAAAAGUCUAUGCAGGAUUUUCACUUGAUUUAUAAAAUAUAAUAUCUG